AUGAUUCGCACGUCACAUUUCACCAGCCUACUACUACUAAACGCCUCAUUUGUGCGCGGUAGUCUGGCGGGCGACGUUCAGCGAUAAGUCCUCCUCCAGAAACAAAGACAACCCGCGCCAUUGCGCGGGUUUUUUU
rnacentral:sRNA from 1 species